CGGGACGGGUGAGUAAUGCUUGGGAAUCUGGCUUAUGGAGGGGGAUAACUACGGGAAACUGUAGCUAAUACCGCGUAGUAUCGGAGGAUGAAAGUGCGGGACCGUAAGGCCGCAUGCCAUGGGAUGAGCCCAAGUGGGAUUAGGUAGUUGGUGGGGUAAAGGCCUACCAAGCCUGCGAUCUCUAGCUGGUCUGAGAGGAUGGCCAGCCACACUGGAACUGAGACACGGUCCAG
rnacentral:rRNA from 1 species